rnacentral:misc_RNA from 1 species
UAAAAAAAAAAAAAAAAUCAAUUGAUAAUCUUUAUUGAGAAAGUAGACCAUAGCAAACUUUGCAGAACCAAAAAAUGAUUGCAGAUUAAAUAACAAGUAGUGUUAGCAUAAACACAUCAUAUUUUCUAUGAAAUUCUUUGUUCAGUUCCACUUAUGUAGAACCUCAACAUGAAGAAAAAUUAAUAAGGGGGGCAAUUAAAUCCUGGCAAUGCUCAAUUCAAAAUUCGAGAAUUUUGUCCUCAGGCAAUUGGCAAAUUUUAGCACAACAGAAAAAAGGUAAAGAAAGGUUUGUUUUUGAGGAAGUGGGAAUGACAAUUUAGUGCACUUGAAGAGGAAGGGAGGUAAUUAAAU